ensembl:lncRNA uncharacterized LOC115495208
GGUAGUUCAAAGAAAAGGGAGAACAUUUCCUUCUGCUAGAAACUAUCAGUCUUUUCAGCCCACAUCCAAAAUGUGAUAUUUUCAAGCUAUUUUCUCCGCUAUUGCCAGACCAAACUCUGUGGAUAUAUCUGCAUCAGUCAUGAGCAGACACAAUUCUUCAUUCCUCAUGUGAUCCCACAUUGCUUCCUCCAGAGAUCUGCAAACCAGGUUUGGCUUUUUUCAAGUGUUCAGAUUUGCAGAAAUGCUGAAAGGUUGAUGAUAGCACCCAAAGGCCAAGGAUAAAGCUUACACAGGUCUAUUCCAAACAUGGAGAAGAGGGAGAUUCAGAAUCACUGAUGGAGUACAAUAAAUAUGCAAGAAAAAGCUUAUUGAAAGAAUGAAGAAUGAAGAUUCUGGGUGGUUCUUCCACCUGCUGUCUCACACAAACCCUGGGACCAUGGAAAUAAGAUCAUGUUACAGAAGAGCGAAAGCUCAUCCGCUAAACAUGGGGAGGAGGGAAAACCCGGAGGAGAUUUCUGCCGGAGUCCGGAACGGAGUCGGCAAAAGGGAAAACCCAGACAGGAAUCUAGCCAGAGUUUGGAAUGGAGUCGGCAAAAAGGAAAACCCGAACAGGAAUUCAGCCAGAGUCUGGAUUUAUCCCGGCGUCUGGAAGGGACUCGGCAAAAGGGAAAACUAGGACCGGAUUGAUCCAGGAGUCCGGAAUGCACUCGGCAAAAGGCAAAACCCAGACUGGAAGCUCGUCGGAGUCCGGAAUGGAUCCGGCAAAAGGGAAAACCCAGACUAAAUUUCUCCCGGAAUUCGGAAUGGACUCAGCAAAAGGGAAGAUCCUCUUGAGCUUGCAGUUGUUUUGCUCCACUUUUAAUUUUUUUCUAACGUUCUAAGGUAUUAUUCAAUCUCUCAGAGCAUUUUCCAGAAGCAAGAUAUUGUUCAGCAUUGCUUAACACCAUUAGUUUUACAAAGAACAUGACUUCAGCAGAAAGAUUUGAAUUUUUCUAUUGACGUCUUUACUUAGAGGAGGUUCAUGGUGAAGCCGAAUGUAAUGAGAAAUAAAAACAUCUGUAUUUUUGAUACAGCCAAAUCUCUAGAUAAGGAGGCAUGGGAUGAAGACAAAUACCUGUCACAUGGCUGUACUCCUCUGCUGAGUAGAUUUAAAUAUGUUUUACUCUUUUUUUGUCAUUCUUUUUUCACCCCAGACUUGCCUCUUGUCCCAGUCUAUAAACCAUUUUCUAACUGUCCUCUUGCUUCCCAUCCAGAUGAGUAUUUCCAAACCCUCACCUAACACCAGACCUCUUUUAUUUUUAUCAGUCCUCACACCAUCCUAUUUCUCUAACUACAACUCAGUUUAUCCCUUCAAUUUCUGCUUCCCCUUUCCAUUCACAGCUUAUCUUCUUUCUGUAUUUAAUCCUGGUUCUCUUCCCAUUCAGACCCACAUUUCCCAGAUUAUCCCAUCGAGGGUUUGCUGACCCUCCCUGUAGCAAAACAGAAAACAGAAUUCUGUUUUCACCCUUUUGCAUUUGCAGCAGCUCAUUUUCCCUCUCCAUUCAGAAACCCCUUCUACUAGGAACAGGGUCACUGAUCCCAAAGGAGAUCCAAGUUUUUCCCCUAAACCUGCACACACCCUCUCCUGAAGCAUCUAAGAGCAAGAUUACACCAGGGAUUGUUCAUAAUUCAGUUUUUCAAGGAUUUUCUGAGUGUGAGUAAGGAUGUGCAGGAAAAAGAAUAAUAAUUAAACAUCCUGUAAUUUACUUUUUAAAGCUCUUUAGGGCUACAGGUGUAGAGCUUCACGUUACAUGUCCCAGAACAAGCUGAGAUGUCAGUCCAGCACUCGGAGCAUUACUUGGGCUGUUUGCAGGAGCUGCUGAGCACCUUCGGGCAGAACUGGGUAACGUGGUUGGAGAACUGGGAUGUGACCCCGGAGCAGGGACCAUCCUGUGGCUCUGAGCCCAACAGGUUCCUGACACAGAAGGUCUUUGCAAAGUUCUGUGUGAUACAGCUACAUAUCCUUGCUUUGAAUUUUGAUCUUAUAAAGCUGUCAAUAUUAUUCACUUCUUGUGUAGUGACAGGCAAUCACCUCAAACCUGACAAAUAUUGAGUAAUCUACUCAACCUUUUGCCAUUCAGAGGGAAGCUGACAAAUCUUUCUUCUUGGCUAUCUUGUUUGUAACAACUUUUUUGACCAAAGAACAGCACUUUUUCUUCAGACAGCAGAAAUCUCCAUCCCAAACUUCCUGACCAUUCAGUGAGCAAGUCAUCUCUGUGCAGGAACCCACACAGUUUAAAAGCAGCAUAAUUCCCAUUUAUUCCUUCAAACAAUUAUUUUAAAUUCCUCUUGCAGUGAGAGAACAGCCUUAAAAUAGGCUCCAUACUUGAACAUUAGUCCCAGAAAAGCAGAUUCCAGUGAAUUGUGAGGCAUUUCUGUCACCUGGUGCCAAACCCAGCCACUCUGAUGUUAAGGUAAAAACAUCCUGAUUCUGCCCAGCAGGAUAAGGAAAACAUAUUUUGUGUUGCUUACACUCUCAUUGGUUCCUUGCCAAAAAGACAGUGUUUUUAAAACUUUUAAAUUAUUCACUUUUCUAACUUAAGCAUUGCAAUGUUUGUAACCUUUCCAUCCAGUUUCUGGGGAUGCUCUGGUGGUCCAUGGCAGAGGCUGGACCCUGGCAGUCACCUCUUAUUUAAAUUAUGGGAGAAUCCAAAGAAAAGAGAUGUUAAUGAGGAGGGAACAAUCUCUCCAGACACAUUGUUCAUAGCACAUAUUGAUUUCUAGCAUGUCAUGGCAAACAAAAGUUUAACAACUAUAAUUUUAUGAAAACGACAAUUGAACAGCACAUCUGGUGAGAAUUCAUUUAUGCUUUUUACAUUUUUAACAACCUGGCUAUUUUUACUCUCCUCAUCCUCUCAAAGGGAGUGCAAUGUAAUGAAGCAUGGAGCUGGAACUAGGCCACACCUCAGCUGGAAAAUGUCAAAUUCUAUUAUGCCAUCUUCAAAAGCAUAAAUCAUAGCUGCACAUUUUUAAAGGUAUAAAUGAGGGAGGGAACACCAUAAAACAUUUAUUUGAACUCAUGCAAUGUAUUUAUAGUACAGAAUGGUAGAGUAUGGGAUUUAUGUAAUGUAAAAAUAUACCAAACAUUUAAAAGUUGACAUCUAUGAUACACAGUAUCUUCUCUCUGAUGAGAAAUCCCUUUGCGCACUGACCUUUCUUGAAUUUAAUUUUUCUGGACGUCAGCUAACAAACUAACCUGCUCAAUGUUAGUUCUUUUGUCACUUAAAAUCCUUGUUUUAUAUAGGACAAUAAUUUUAAUUGUCUUAAGUUUAAAGAAAUGCUUGAUUUAUAUAAUACCCAGGAAUCUACAUUUCAUUUUUUUUAAAUAUUAAAUUGUACCUUUCAUGCAUUAUUUCCCACGUUUCAUUGCUUAAAUUAUGUAUGGGGAGGAGACUCUGUCUCUUUGGCAGGAGCAGUACCAUAGUUCAUAACUCUUCAAAUAAAUAAAUAGUAUUUACUGAGCAUUUAGGAGGAGGAAGGAAGAUUGUUAUACUCUCUUGCCUUCUCUCACUCUUACUGUUUUCUUGAAUACUCCAUUUAUUCCCAGAGAUUUUAACUGCCUCACUACAGCCACUUUUCUGUGGUUUGGGAGACACUAAACUGUCAGAGGAGCAGAGAUGACCAUCUACUGCUUUGACCAACACUGCUGCCAUGGUGGACAAACCUUUGACUCAGACAUUUAAACACAGAUUAAAUGGAGGACAGAUUAAAGGGGAGGACAGGUUGAGGAUACUCCUGAGCCUGUUUUGCUGAGGAUUUGCAUUCCAGAAUCUCACACCUGGCUGCUGAACACACAGGUCCCUGUGUCACAUUGCUGGAAGCCAUCCAAGCAGUGACAGGGGUUUCUGUUCCACAUUGAUUCAUUCAUCUGGAAUUCCUAAUCCUGGAUCUGAAGGUGAAGGCAGUGCAGGCUGUUUGCUCAGAACUGUCUCAGGUCACCCUUGGAUGGGAUGGGGCAGGAGGGAAAAGUGAAUUUUCUCUACUCAGUGAUACACACAUCAACCUGUAUAAAUACAUAAACUACCUGAUCUUUUCAUUUUCUUCACUGAGUAGACCAUAUAGUUUUUUACUGCUUUUAGGAGAAAGCUCUUGAUCCUAACAAUGCUGAUGCCAUUUAACUUUAUUUUGUAUCAUUUGUUACCAGCUUAUAUUUCCACACUGUUCUUGUGCAGUAGAUAUUUCAGUAUUGAACAUUUGAAAUCUUAUCUACCAUUCUGUUCUGACUGAUUUAAUCUCCUUGGCUUUAAAUUGUCUGUCUGAAAUCACUGCAGAAUGGAUCAAGAGGGGAACACUCAGCUCAUCUUAGAAGGAGGUUAAGAUGCUAUUCUUGAGUUAUUCUUAAGAGUUCUUAACCUGUUCUUAAAAUUUUAAGGAGCUUUUCUUAGACUGAAGUAUUGCAAGGAGUAAGUUGAAGAUUUAAAGGUGAUAAAAUAGUUUAAGAAUAUUAUGGAUUGUCUUGCACCGCCUCAGUAGUGAUUUCUUGCCCUUCCUGACCACUUCAGUCUGGGCAACACAGCCCUGUGCCACAGCCACUCUGGAAAGCAGGUGAUGAACCAGACUAGCUUUAAAAAAAUGAUGAAGAAUUUGAAGGAAAAAAAAAAAAAA